UUUUUCCUAAGGCUCAGCCAGAACGUCUUGCUAUUUUUAGAGGACCGGCCAGUUCUGAAUAUUGAUUCAGUCAUGGGCAUGUGUCCCAUUUUAACUUCCCAGGGGCAGCCAGGAACAAGGCCAGCUUCGAAAGCCCAUCUUCUCUCCCUGCAGGCAUCCUGCCACCUUUCUCAGAAGAGGUGAGUAUUGGUGGCAUUUUGCCGUCACUGUUGUCCUUGCCCUGCCUCUCAUCAGAGCUGGAGAGCUGGAGCAGGCACUUCUGGGGAGGAUGGGGCAAAGCGUGGAGAGGGAGCCAACAUCAUACUAAGCUGUUUACCAUGUCGCUUCCAGCAAUUCUGUGGAGCAUGUCUUACUACACAGGAUGAAAUGGUCUCCAGCAGGUUAAGUACUGUGGAGGCAUAGAGUGCUUAAGAAACUCACCCAAAUCACACAGCUAGUAAAUGGCUGGCCUACGACUUGACCUCUCCAACCCAAAACACACCUUCAUUCAGAUAUGCCGUAUUUCGCAAACCUUGCCUGAUCCUUGGUGCUCCAGAGGCACUUUUUAAAACUCCCAUUCUUACACCCCACUCCAGAGCCAGGGAAUCAGAAUCUCCAGGAGAAGGGCUGGGUGUCCAUAUUUUUAACAAGCACGCCCACGGUGAUUUCAACGCUCAGUAAAUUUGAGAAAGAACAGCUCUAGGAGAGUUGCUUUUUGAACUUGAGUGAACAUCUGAAUCACAAGGGAGCUGUUAAAAUGCAGAUUAUUCUGAUUUGCUCUUAAAGGUGCUGAAAUAAGCCAUCUGGACCGGGACCCAGGAAUCUGCCUUUUUGCAACCACUCCUGAUUUGUUCUGUUGCAAGUGGGACUUUGAAAAACAUUGAUCUAAUGAUAAACAAGAAAGAGAGACACAGAUACUGAAGUAAUGAAAUCAUCAAUACUGGAAAGGACUCAUCUUACAACAGUCUAAGGGAAAUGACUUAGUUUGGAGUAAAGGAAGAAUUUCUUCAAACAUGAAAACUACCCUUCGCCCUGGGUCAUGGCAGAAAUGUGGGGCCUUGGACACCAGCUGUUCCCCAGGAGGUUUUCCCAGCUGCUGCUAUGGCCAACUCUGUGGUGGAGGAGCCCAGGGGUGGGGGAUUCCAAGAGCAGACAUUCCAUGUAGGAUGGAGCCAAACCAGGUCAAAGGCAGAACAGUUGAACUAUUUGGGAAACAGGUGGGAACAACGGAAAAUUCAUUUGGUUAAAUGUGUGCUUCAAUCAACACAAAAGUUAUCACAGUUGCUUGGUUUGGAAAG
rnacentral:lncRNA from 1 species